rnacentral:tRNA from 1 species
GACGAAAUAUCUCGGUUGGGAGAGCGUUAGACUGAAGAUCUAAAGGUCCCUGGUUCGAUCCCGGGUUUCGGCA